GAAGAGGAUGAAGAAGACAUGACUGAAAGUCGCACCGAUGAAAGCAGGCUGGGAAGAUAAAGCCGAGCUAGACUGGUACUCUUGGAACGGGGGCCUAGGCCGGCAUUUAUAAGAAAAGGAGGCGUAGAUGUUUGGUAAGGCGCGUCCCAUCGGAGGUGAGAAAGGCAAUAAAUAAAAGAGACGCCGCGAAGGACGGUCAAAGUGGUCAUUAAAUGUUCGUACAAAAAUAGCCAGUACUUUUACAGGUUACCCAGAAGGGCAUCGAUAGCCGAUAUCGCUCGGCGCCGGAUCUGAUCGGCAGAGUCCAGGACCCGUUGGUCAUCAUCUACCGAUCCGGGGACUUCUGGCAUAUUGCGGUGGAGUUUAAGGGCUU
rnacentral:lncRNA from 1 species